rnacentral:snRNA from 1 species
UUGCUUUAGCAGCCCAUGUACUAAAACCGGAACGAUACAGAGAAGAUUAGCAUGGCCCCUGUGCGUGGAUGACGCGCAAAUUCAUGAAGCGUUCCAUUAAAAA